rnacentral:misc_RNA from 1 species
GAUGAAGAACGUAGCGAAAUGCGAUAAGUAAUGUGAAUUGCAGAAUUCAGUGAAUCAUCGAAUCUUUGAACGCACCUUGCGCCCUUUGGCUAUUCCGAAGGGCAUGCCUGUUUGAGUAUCAUGAACACCUCAACUCCUCAUGGCUUGCCAUGAUGAGCUUGGACUUGGGGGUCUUGCUGGCCUGUGGUCAGCUCCUCUCAAAUGAAUCAGCUUGCCAGUGAUUGGUGGCACCACAGGUGUGAUAAACAUCUACGCUUGUGGUUCCCCACCAUGUAACCUAUAGCGAUAGAGGUUCGCUGGAGCUCACAAAUGUCUUUCCUCAGUGAAGACAGCUCUUUGAUUGUUUGAUCUCAAAUCAGGUAGGACUACCCGCUGAACUUAAGCAUAUCAAUAAGCGGAGGA